ensembl:lncRNA
UGGUGAGACUUUAUUUCUUUGUAAAAGUUAUAGCUUCUCGAAAGGAAUUACAGAGGUACAAAGUGUGUGACAUCUUUUAAAUUCUUUCUCUUGAAUUCUUCAUUAUUUCUGUUGAAAUUAUACAAUUUAAAUUUAAAAACGUCUGAAAUUACAACCGUUUUUUUUUUUUUUUUUUUUUUACUUUGAAUGUGAAAAAAAAAAAAAAGUGAAUACACUAUUAGAGAAGUUGUUGUCUGAACGCACAUACCACAGUUCCUUUAUCGCAUGUUGUUGCCGUCUGGCAACAAUUACAAUUGACCAUUUAACAGAAUACUCAAAACAUAUCAACUUGUUGAAAUGACCAAAAUAAAUAAAUAAAUAAAUGUUAACUUAGCUCGGACAGUUUUUCGGUUUUGUCCUUUAAGUAGUUUUGCCUAAACAUUGAAAAAUGUAUAACGUUUCGAGAGCCCGCUGAGGAUGACCUUCGCCGUGCCGAAAAGGAAGUACAAACCAGCACUUCCUGGUCAUCUGACACGGUAUUUCUUUUGUCAAAAUGUCAAAGUUAAAGCUUUCCAGUUAGAUAACAAAAUAGCAGUCUUGUAUUAUUGUCUAUGGAUAAAUUCUAAUAUAUAUGGCAACGUCAUGCAGUAAAGGGUUAAAGGGUCUAUGUGUAAAAGUGUUUCUUUCUCAGAGAGAGAUACAGGGCCAACUAGAAGCCCUUUAGAAAGCUAGGAACAGAUGAGGAAUGUUGUUUUUUUUUAUGGAACUGAUCUUAUUUUGAGUAUAAAAGUCUCUUAAGAUGGCGGCGGGGAUUCAGUCGAAGGGAAGUGGAAGGAGGGCAAGUCGCCGAGGACGUGUUACGGACAGUACUGUAACGUAGCCUUGCUGUUUAUCCUGUUGAUUCAUCUGAAUGCAAUCUAUGGAGGUGUUCCAUAGGGAUCGAAUGUACUUUUUUGCAGAAUAGAUGUAUGUAUUUGAUUUAGCACUGCCUGUCUUCUGAUUAAUGCAAGUUUCCUCUAGGCACGUGCCGAUAAUCAGUUCCCGUGAUAAUAUGAUAAAUAUAUAUAUAAUAUAUAUAUAUAUAUAUAUCACGGGAUUGUAUAUUGUUAUCGAAGACUACCCCUGUGUUCCACUCAGGAGGAGGCCACCUAGGUAGGCCACAUCAUGGGCACCUUGUAAAAGGUCAAACGUGUCCCGUUUACAUUUCAUCAUAACGGAUAAUUGUGAUAAUGCCAUGAACUGCAAUAAGUUUAAUUAGUCGGCUAUUGCGAUAGGAGGAUUUGAUAUCGGCACGCGCCUAGCUUUCACAGGGUUGAGUUCAGGGAAAUAGCUUUACUGCCCGUACACUCUCAGAAGCCAAAAGGUGCUAAACUGUACCUUUUCUUGUCACCGGUAGGUAACGUGUACUGUACCUUUAAAUCCUCACUAAAUUAAUAUUAGAUUUAAAUAAUAGUGGUCCUUAAGGAAUAGCUAAGUAUUUCAGCAGACUGGACCAAAUAAAUGAAAAAAUACUGUAGCAGAACUUGAAAAACAUAUAAAUAAAUAUGUAAAUAUAACAUUUAAAUAAUAAACAUAUAUAUAUAUAUAUUAAAAAAGUUAACAUUUUUUUGGAAUGCGAAGCAGCUCUGUGAUGUCCUCAGUUACGGCUAAUCCGAUCACGUGCGUUUAUGUAAAUUAUUCAGCUGACGGAAGCUCAUUGGUCCGCUAUCUGCCCUCUUCCGCAUACAGGAGCUCACAGGCGCCCAUGAUUGGCUAGUGUCGCUGUGAUUGACACGGCAGAGAGGGUUCCCCUCUCCCACUCAGAUAGCACGGCCGAUUCGAUCUCUUAGACGUCCAUCCGUGGACGGCUGUGGCAUCCAUCGUCGUCUAGACGAAAGGGCGAAAGCUUUUCCGCCGCACUAAAGUUACUUUUAGACUAAAGCCUAGACUAUGGCGUCCAACUCCAGAGCGACCUUCUCACGGAGGACCGUUUUCAUCUCAGUUUAUCGUGCACGCUCCGUCUGACCGAGAUCUUCAACGGCCGGAGCGGGUGUGUAGGAUUUGUGCAGGAAGGGGAAACAGACAAGAGGAACGUUCAACCUUUUAAAUAAAAUGUCAACAACAACAACAACAAAAAAAAAAAUAGACGAUUGUAUAUACGUCACAGUGAGUAUUAUGUGAAACAGUAUUGUAUGUGCUCACGGAUAUGCAUCGAUAAUGACGGGAGUGUUUAACCUUUAUGCACUUAAGACACGGGUGAAAGAAGGGUGAGAUGAGCUCGUACGCAUACGCAGACCACUAUUACUGUAUUACUAUUACGGCUUGCGUUACUUUUAUGUUGGAGAAUCCGGCGGCUUGGCGAGUCAGGCGUGUGCCGAUGGAUUCCGUCGGAGUACCGGAAUGUUCAAAAACGACGUCGUUAUCGUGGAGGUGUAAAUAUUUAUACUCGGACCCCCGGUCCUGUUCAGAAGGCCGUUAAAGGUGCAGUCAGUGAUUUUGACGUUGGAAAGACUUUAGGAAUAUUUGACGAAGCUCACCUCACAUUUCUUGUAUAGCUUUAAUAUCAUCAUCCAUCCAUCCAUCUUCGAUACCGCUUACUCCUUUUCAGGGUCACGGGGAACCUGGAGCCUAUCCCAGGAUGCAUCGGGCACAAGGCGGGGUACACCCUGGACAGGGUGUCAGUCCAUCACACACACACUCACACACGCUUUAAUAUAAAUCGCUUUAAUAGAAAGAGGAUUUAGAGGAGUGAUCUCUGCGGAGCUGCGGAUUCUGGAAAUGUGUGCGUGUGUGGGGGGGGGGCGGGGUUAGGGAAGACAUCGUGCGGACCACCAACAUCCAACCAAUCACGACGAGGAGGCGUCUACGCUCGGCUGUCAAUUAAAAACAAUCUCAAAAUUGCACGAGGAUUAAGAUCCUCACACUUUUUCCUAUUAAGAUCCUAGCACUAGUUGGUUUCUUACUGUUUUGUGUUCGAAUAAUAAUAAUAAUAAUAAUAAUAAUAACAACAAACAUCAAUUAUAUAUAUAUAUAUAUAUAUAUAUAUAUAUAUAUAUAUGUAUAUGUAUAUAUUAGAGAUGCACCGAUGUAUCGGCCAAUAAUCGGUAUAUAUAUAUCUUUACCCAACAUUCCCUAAAAUCACUGACUACACCGUUACCUGCUCGUUUUUGGUCAUCGUUAAUAAUUUCCCUACUGUUUUCUUCUUUUCUUAACUUAAUAUUCGUGUCUGUAGCUCAUCAAAGUCGUUUUUAUCCGUCAGUACGGGAUCUUACCGAGUGUUUUUUUUUUUUUGUUUUUUUUUGUGAUCGUUGCGGCCAAAAACGCUUUGAUUUUGCUGCGGCGCGUUUUGAAAAACAUUUACGAUGCGACGUGUGGAUGAUUUUUUUUUUUUUUUGGGGGGGGGGUGUUUUCUUUUUUGCGGAAAUCUACUUCGCAGAAAUCGGCGGAAUCAGAGUUGCACGAAAUAGUUGAAAUUCCUAGAAGGAACUGGUUUUAUGAUUAAGUUCAGCCGGCUAUUAUAAAUGUCGAACACCUACAACUGAGGCCAGGAUUGUUGGCGUUAGCGAGCUAGCUUAUAAAGCAGCUUUGUUAGUUACGUUGCUGUCUGUAAACCUGCCUCUUCAAAAACAAAUGCUGUUUUUUAAAAAUUAUUAUUUAGUUUUUAAUAAAUCUACACGCUGAACAGGGUGAUUAUUAAUGAAUAACUGGCGAUCACGUACAGUGAGACGCUUCAGAUGUCGGUUGAUGGUUAAAAUACAUUAGCUAGCUUAUAAACUACGCCUUGUUACUUUAUAGCUUGCUCGCCCGUAACUCGGAUAAAACCCUGUUCCGAAAUAUUCAUUUUAUUUAGAGUGUUUAUUAAAGCCACAUAGUUACCAAGGGAUUAUCAGUGAAUAAAGCGUAUCACGUACGACGAGGCUGCUCCCGAGGUUUGUUGCAGUGUGUUAGCUAGCUUGUAAAGUGGCGUUGUUAGUUCGGUUCCCCGGCGUUAACUCCGUCGAGGUUUUAUUUAUUAGCAGCUUUUUAUUAAGACUAGUUUAUGAAGUAACUUCCGUAGACCAUUCGGUCUCUGUUAACCUGAGUUUUACAAAGUUAGCUCGGGAUUAUUAUUCGCGGAUCAACGAGCAGCACGUGCACUACGAUGAGACGUACCCCGCGGUUAUCUGCGCUUAAAACGGCGCUACACGCGAACGUUUUUCAGACCGUCUGUAACACCGUUCAACGUUAUAAACCGUAACGAGACGUUAUAUGAUGUCCUUUAUCGCUCCACGUUAUAAUGAGGCAACGUCGGCACACGUCUAAUUUCUAAUUAAGUCGUGUGACCUUUCCGAAAGGAUCUUGUUUCAUUUUUGUGGUUGUGUACGGGGUUUUUUGUUGUUUUUUCUGACAGCGACUAUGGAACCCUCACUAUGUCCGGAAUGUAUCUACUCCUCGUCAGCAGUUACACAGAGCUUUCAGGUUUCACGAUGGACGCAAGAGUCCGGGUUGUGUACGACGUAGGCUCAGGUCACGCAGAGAACUCCAGGCCUCUGUGAACUUAAAUACAGAUACAAUAUUUACGCUUAUCCUGCCUUUUUAAAAAAUAAAUAAAUAAAAAAAAUCAUUCAGCAUCGUUUCAUACGUUUUUAGAUGUACGCUGGUGAGAUUCAAACCUGGACUUCAACCUGACGUCAGAUCGGACCAGUGAGAAUUGAUUAACCCCGCCCCCUCCGAUCUCUGAUCCUGGUGCCACAAGUCCGUUCGGCUCUGCUUGAACUUGUACAUAACAUUUAAUACACGAGCUGUCGGUGAAUUAACAUAGUGAUUUUAAGCAUUUGUUAUGAAAUAGAACAUAGAGUUUAGUUUUGCUACCGCAUAGCUUGCUAAGUACCGUAGCGCAGAAACAGACGUCGGGUCCGGACCCAUCGGGCGUCGACCGUUCCGGACAACGUCUCCGUUUUUUGUUUGUUUUUUUUUGCCUUAGAACAAGGUGAAAUGAAGGUCGGCGUCUCCCGCAGCUGCCGCCGUCGUGUGAGAGUAGGCUUGUUUAUAACACCUUGUGUCACCGCUCCCACUUCUGCUACGAUAUAUUUGGUGUUCUGUUGUAGCUUCUCUGAGAAUAGAAAGUUUCCUUCAGUCAUUGUUCAUCAGGACAAACUAAAAAAGCGCUCGUCCCCCGUUUGCCUCUGAUGCUUAAUGAAGUUAUAAAAUACAUGAUGAAAUCAAGUGUCAGUAACAUGACAAUCACCGAACUGGAAAAAUCCAAUCGAAAGCAUUCCACGUGUUUCUUACAAAGUAUUUAUCAGUAUGUUACCUGCUGUGAAAACUGGACUAGUUUAUUGA